AACGGCGAGUGAAGCGGUAACAGCUCAAAUUUGAAAUCUGGCCUCACGGUCCGAGUUGUAAUUUGUAGAGGAUGCUUCGAGCAUGGUCUGGCCUAAGUUCCUUGGAACAGGACGUCAUAGAGGGUGAGAAUCCCGUAUGCGGCCAGGUGCCUACGCUCAUGUGAAGCUCCUUCGACGAGUCGAGUUGUUUGGGAAUGCAGCUCAAAAUGGGUGGUAAAUUUCAUCUAAAGCUAAAUAUUGGCCAGAGACCGAUAGCGCACAAGUAGAGUGAUCGAAAGAUGAAAAGCACUUUGGAAAGAGAGUUAAACAGUACGUGAAAUUGUUGAAAGGGAAGCGCUUGCAACCAGACUUGCGCGCGGCCGAUCAUCCGGUGUUCUCACCGGUGCACUCGGCCGUGCUCAGGCCAGCAUCGGUUUUGGCGGCUGGAUAAAGGCCCUAGGAAUGUAGCUCCUCUCGGGGAGUGUUAUAGCCUAGGGUGCAAUGCAGCCUGCUGGGACCGAGGACCGCGCUUCGGCUAGGAUGCUGGCGUAAUGGUUGUAAGCGGCCCGUCUUGAAACACGGACCAAGGAGUCUAACAUCUAUGCGAGUGUUUGGGUGUCAAACCCAUACGCGUAAUGAAAGUGAACGGAGGUGAGAACCCUUAAGGGUGCAUCAUCGACCGGUCCUGAAGUUUACGGAAGGAUCUGAGUAAGAGCAUAGCUGUUGGGACCCGAAAGAUGGUGAACUAUGCCUGAAUAGGGUGAAGCCAGAGGAAACUCUGGUGGAGGCUC
rnacentral:rRNA from 1 species